rnacentral:rRNA from 1 species
CCCUAGGGAAAGAAGGUCUGUACGGAGCACGCCGCGUGAGUGAUGAAGGCUUUCGGGUCGUAAAACUCUGUUGUUAGGGAAGAACAAGUGCUAGUUGAAUAAGCUGGCACCUUGACGGUACCUAACCAGAAAGCCACGGCUAACUACGUGCCAGCAGCCGCGGUAAUACGUAGGUGGCAAGCGUUAUCCGGAAUUAUUGGGCGUAAAGCGCGCGCAGGUGGUUUCUUAAGUCUGAUGUGAAAGCCCACGGCUCAACCGUGGAGGGUCAUUGGAAACUGGGAGACUUGAGUGCAGAAGAGGAAAGUGGAAUUCCAUGUGUAGCGGUGAAAUGCGUAGAGAUAUGGAGGAACACCAGUGGCGAAGGCGACUUUCUGGUCUGUAACUGACACUGAGGCGCGAAAGCGUGGGGAGCAAACAGGAUUAGAUACCCUGGUAGUCCACGCCGUAAACGAUGAGUGCUAAGUGUUAGAGGGUUUCCGCCCUUUAGUGCUGAAGUUAACGCAUUAAGCACUCCGCCUGGGGAG